GAAGAGCUUGCUUCAGCUGCUGACUCUGGCCCCAGAGUUCUCACUCUGUUCUGAGAUUCUUGAACCUGAAGAAAAAUGGCUGCAAAAUUGUCCUUUCAACCAUGGUUGAACUCUCUGAUCAUGUCGGCAGGAAGAAAAACUUGAAUUGACAUUGAACUGCGUGUUUAAAGAUUUGUAGACCACCCCACACGUCUGUCUCUGGGCGGUAUAUGCUAGAGGGGAAUGUUUCAAGAAAACAAUGAUCAGAGGAAGUAUACUUCACGGAGGGAUUUGAACUGUAUUCCUGUGGACUAUUUCCAAAUCCCACCUUUUAACAGCAGUGAGACUUUGAUAUGGCAAGUUAGAAAAGAGUGUCAUCCAGCUAAUCCUAAGCACAUGAUGGAAUGAGAUGACAAAUGUUACAUGUAUUAAUAUUACAGUAUCCACCAGAGUAAUACAUAGUAAUACAUAUAUAGAAUAUCUGAAAGCCCUCAUUAAAUGUAUAUGUUCAUUAUUUAUAGCCAGAUUCCCCAAUCCAUAUUUUAUGCUGCUUUUCAUUACUCUUAUAAUACAGUGUUUAUUAAUUGAAAAGGACAUGUUCUCAUCAACAGUUUGGAUCCAGAGAGGUGGUUUUCAAUAAGCUUUUGUCACUCUCAGAAAAACAUUGGGGCUAUUUACACACACACACAGGCAAAACCGGGCUAAGGAAGCCCAGCCCAGUUGUGCUGGUGGAUGUGAACGUUCAGGAAUCACACAACUCUUGGCAGCAGACCCGCAUAUGAAGCCCGCCACUUAGCCUGGGUUUGGGGUGUGAGGGUGCCCUUAAACCGGGCUUAGUGCUCACCUGACAGUGCCAUGCAGCUCCAGGUGACACUUACAUGUGAGUAGCCUCCUGGCCAGUGCUGGGAGUCCAAAC